AACAUAAAACAGAAGAAAAAAAACAAUAACUGAGAAACUCAACACAAUAUGCUGUAAAUAAAAAAGAAAACAGAGACCGGAUUCAAGUGGACAUAUCUAAUCACAAACACAGUUAUCAAUUCCGGAUUGAGGCACAAACCAGCUGACCUCGACACGAUGUGAUAAUAGGAUGGCCACUAUUCUGUAUGCAGGUUUAUAAGAUGUAUAGGAUAUACACAUAACUGUCAGAAAAUGAUAAAUUACUCAAUUCAUGACAUUAAUAAUCAACAAUAGAAAGUCAAUGGCAGAAGAUCACCAGAUAUGAUACAAGACAAGUUAGCAGGUCACUGAAGAGUGGAGAAACAGACUACAGGUCUUGUUGCCAGAGAGAAGAGAGUUGAGAGAGAAGAUUUAUCAAUGGCAGUAAGUGUCACCCUUUUAACUGCUUUUUCCCUGAGAACCCUAUAAUACCCCUAUCCACAACAAAUAGCCUCGACAUCCUAUUAAAGAGGGUUUCUAGGAAUCUCAGCACAAUAGCUGAAAUAUUUAAGAAGGCAGCAACAGCACUGUUGUGCAGUAUUAAUAACCAUUAAUUAUAAAGUAAAAUUUUUAUACAGGAAAAGAAUGAGCUACUUAACAAUUUAGCAGGAGUGAACAGAAACAACUAAAAAAUAUAUAUAACAAUAUAGCAGCACCACAUCAUCUUUCAUGUUCUUUUAUUGUUAUUGCAGUCAAAAGAGGGUGGCACAUGGCUCAAAGGCAAAGGUUACGGACAGGUUAUUCAUAAUCAUUAUUUCAAGUAACAUAAAAAGUUCCUCUAAGCUCACCCGGAGAUGGCUGCAUUGCAUACAUCAAAACCUGUCGGACCCCACCAAUGAUGGAGCCUGAUGAACUAGGAUGUGAACGCUUCUCUGUUAUGUCAUAGAUUUGAGAGAUAAUGCACCAGUGCAGGCAGUCAGAUAAGUUAUAAUUUGUGGGAAUCCAUAGAUUAAUUGAAAAUUAAUCCAGUGUUUGAUGCACAGCUCAGCAAAGAUUUCACU
rnacentral:sRNA from 1 species